rnacentral:rRNA from 1 species
GACGUAGGGGGCCAGCGUUGUUCGGAAUCACUGGGCGUAAAGGGUGCGUAGGCGGGUCUUUAAGUCAGGGGUGAAAUCCUGGAGCUCAACUCCAGAACUGCCUCUGAUACUGAGGAUCUUGAGUUCGGGAGAGGUGAGUGGAACUGCGAGUGUAGAGGUGAAAUUCGUAGAUAUUCGCAAGAACACCAGUGGCGAAGGCGGCUCACUGGCCCGAUACUGACGCUGAGGCACGAAAGCGUGGGGAGCAAACAGG